rnacentral:rRNA from 1 species
CAGCAGCCGCGGUAAUACGGAGGGUGCAAGCGUUAAUCGGAAUUACUGGGCGUAAAGCGCACGCAGGCGGUUUGUUGAGUCAGAUGUGAAAUCCCCGAGCUUAACUUGGGAACUGCAUUUGAAACUGGCAAGCUAGAGUCUUGUAGAGGGGGGUAGAAUUCCAGGUGUAGCGGUGAAAUGCGUAGAGAUCUGGAGGAAUACCGGUGGCGAAGGCGGCCCCCUGGACAAAGACUGACGCUCAGGUGCGAAAGCGUGGGGAGCAAACAGGAUUAGAUACCCCAGUAGUCCCUGUCUCUUAUAC